rnacentral:rRNA from 1 species
UACGGGGGGGAGCAAGCGUUGUUCGGAUUUACUGGGCGUAAAGGGCGCGUAGGCGGCCAGCACAAGUCAGUUGUGAAAUCUCCGAGCUUAACUCGGAAAGGUCAAACUGAUACUGUGCGGCUAGAGUGCGGAAGGGGGCAACUGGAAUUCUUGGUGUAGCGGUGAAAUGCGUAGAUAUCAAGAGGAACACCUGCGGCGAAGGCGGGUUGCUGGGCCGACACUGACGCUGAAGUGCGAAAGCUAGGGGAGCGAACGGG